ensembl:lncRNA
CUCUACGUGACCUGAAGCAUCUCCAAGCCUGCCCAAAAAUUCACAGAGCUAGCUCUAGUUUCACUUUUCAAUGAACACCAAUACCAAACGAUCUAAAUUCCAUGCCCUACUGCCUCUUAAUUUAUUGAUGUAGCUUGGCUUAUCCAGGUGUCAGUUCCCUUUUCUUAUGAAUAGCAAACAGAUCGCAACUGCAGAUUUCUGUUACAGGCAGCUGCGACGUUGAGGGCCCUUGAAACCUGCAGGAAACUGCUCCAAAACUGACUCCUAGGGCCCAUUUCCACGCAGUCUGAGAAGAAAGGUGCUCUGGCAGUGAAAGCCAGGAGCUACAGCUGGCAGAUCUCACUCACUGAUCUCAGUACGAGUGAGGGCAGAGCCCUGGCUGUGCUGCAUCUGACAUUGGGUGGCGGCUCUUACUCAACAGCUCUGCACUUGUAGGCAGAAAGCACCAAGCUCCAUAAACCACGCCGGUGACAGCAUAGAGUAAAAAAAUAAAGAUCUGUCCCUUGCAGCUCAUGCUGCCCUGUACGGAAAGCAGAGCUGCACAGAUUCUCUGCCAUUAUUCCAAUCCCUUGUUCUGUAAAUUUUGUCUGCAAAUAGCUGAGCUCCUUAAAGGAGGCAUCUGUUUACAACACCUGACAGAAGCCCAAUGGAACUGGGCUGCCAAGACCACUCUGCAUGUCUGAGCAGCUAUCUCGGGAUAUCUUACACUCUGCUUAUUCUCUCACCUUGCUUGCUAUGUACACAGAGGGCACAGGGACUGUCCAGGGCUGUCUGGGACUACCGACUGACUUCUUUUAUUACUGGAACAAAGUAAGAAUUUUGCAGUUAAAGACAACACCCUCCCUGCAAAAAUAACAAAACAACAACAAAACACUCAGACUAGGAAAGCAGAGCUGUGUUCAAAUGAAAGUUGACAAAUAAACUGAAUUCAAGUGUUUUAAAUAGAUCUCACUGAAAACAAAUGAAUGAAAACUUGGACAAAAUUCAGAGCUUUCCACUUACACUAUUACUGGCCCUACUUUGCCCCAACUCUUCUAGAGACAUUAAGAUGAGCUCAGAGAUGAGGCUGCUGAGUAGCUACUGAAAUCUAAAACCAGUCUGUUACUGUAAUGCUGAAGGCACCCAGCAGCUCUAGAGUCUGCGUUCAUGUCUGUGCUAGCAGCAGCCACUUCAUUCAUAAUUCAGAGAAGUCUGGCACAGGCUUCCACAGCCCCUCUGGCACGCUGGGCUUUUCAGUGUACCAUGCAGAAAACACUUCAGGGCAACGCACAAUCACCUUCUCUUAGAAACACCAUCCCUCCCCCUCCAUGCUCGAUGGAAUUAUGUAGCAGUCCUAUGUCCUGGAUAGGCAGAGAGCUCAGAUGUACACUGUAAGCAGUCAGCCUUCCUCCUCCUCCUUCCCAUCCCUUUGCUCUGGUGCAUCAUUAUUAAAUUACUAUAAAACCACUUCUUUAAACUAGCACAAGCCUUCAGGGCACAGAAGGCAUUAAUUCACUUCCCCUUCUUGUCAGCCAAGAACUGUGCCAAAACCACAAUGGUUUUCUACAGUAUUCUAAAAGGACUGAUUU